ACUGGGGAGAGUUGAGUGAGCAUGAAAAGAACACUUUUAAAGACUCUGUUCCUGCCUCUCUUUCAGCCUCCCCCCCGCACCCACCCCAGCACUGAAGAAGCACAGGUGACAAAGGAGACUUGUGGAUUGAGUACAACUGACUCUUCAUCUGACAUCAGCCUCAGCUUCUUUACCUGCACUUUAGCCUUGAAGAAUCUUGCCACCCAGUUUGGAAGAAAGAGAGACAGAGCUCUGGGAUCACUUUACUGGAUGUCACCUGUUCUGUGCGGGAGGAAGAUCACACUCUGCCUUGAAACCCAGAAAUAAAAAAGGUUUCUGUCCGCUGGGUCCUUCAAAGCCUCCAGUGCUUCAGGGAAAUGGGAGGCUCUGUGCCUUACCUGGAUUCUGGUCCUAAAGGGAUGGUUUCUGGGAGUCAGACAAAAGCUAUGACUGCAGCUGUUGUAACUUGCAUGGUCCUGAAUCAAGGCAGGUGGAUUAUGUAUUCUCUUUGUUUUCACUCUGGAUUUGUGGGAAUGAAGGGUUAUUUUUCCCCUUGUCCAAAUAUCUUAAAUCAUUCAAAGGCAGCAUUAGAUUUUAAGCAGAAAAAUGCAAAUGUAACUGGGACACUUACAAUGACCUAAAUGCAUGCUGAUUACCUUUUCUGUUAUUUUCUGGCCUUAAAUAAAGAAAAUAAAAUAAAUGUCA
rnacentral:lncRNA from 1 species